ensembl:lncRNA
GUUUAAACUUCGCUCCCUUUUAAAGCCGCAGGAGAAAGGCGUGAGCAGCAGACAGACGCCCCGACCGCCGAGCGCGACUUGAGGCUGUCACGUCUUCGCCGCCUUAAACAGCGAGCGUUCCCGACAUGACUAGCGGCGCGAAACCUCGGCCGAGAACACAUUUAGCGCACAGUCGCUGUUUGUUGGGAACUGGAUCUCCCCCUGCACGGCCUCAUUCUCACCCCGUGGCGUGACCAUGGAGCAUGUCUGAGGCGCUGGCGGUGAGAUUUUUAACAUGCAGGGAGUCAGGUCCAGCAGACAGCGCCGAGCUCGCUCCCCGCCAGCAGCCGCCUUAAAGGAACACCACCUGAUUCAAAUCAGACAGACGCGAUCUCGCCCUGACCCCCGCCCGCUCCGGAGAGGACGGCUUCACCCUGCCUGACAACACACUGCGAGGCACUUCACAUGAGAGUCCCAUGCGAGCAAGGAGAAAAAAUGGGAUACAAAGGGCACUACUAUCCAAGUGAAUAUGACUUUUAUCAGCAUGCACCACUCCGCUAGGCAGUCGCUCAGCAAACACAACCGUAUCAUAAUUCAAUUAAAACAUCUAGAGCUUGAAUGUAUAAUCAGGUUAUUUUUAUAGCUGUGGAAGAUGUUUCAAGGCAGAUGUUCCUGGUUGCUCUUUAGUGGCUGUGUAAGGGGUGGACUGGCUUCAACCCACACUCAAGUAACUGUAUUAUAGCUUAUUUGAAAUAGUGAAAAAAUACCUUUUUAAAAAAGGGUAAGAAGUAGAGCUCCAGGUCUAACAGACAUGGAGCUCCAACUACAUCCAGUGUGUACUAGCAAAUCACUUGAAGUUUGUUAGGUGCUACUCUUUUCUUUUCAAGAUCUAUUUUUGGCCUACAAUAAGAUGAUAAACCUUGAAAGUGAGCUAUGCAACCAAUUGUAAAGUAACAACAGAUGCUAUGACCAGUGUAACAGGAAUUAAAGACAAAAUGUUACGGACUAAAAUGUAACUAAGCAAAAAGGAGAUCAUGUUCCUCACAAAUGUACUUCAGUAGAAGUAGUAUUAUGACUCAAAAUGCACGAAUACAUUACAUUUUAGCCUAACUGAGUACAUGUAACUGAGGAAAUGUCACUAGUUGUCCUAUUUCUCCAUUUCUGUACACUGAGUGACCAAACCUAAGAGGUCAAGAUGAGGGCAAAAUGAGGAAAAUGCACUUCUGAACUGUGAGGGGGGGACACGUGGCUAAGAAUUGCUCUUCUCUAUUAACCGUCAGUCACUGCAACACAUCUGAAGUGUUUAACCUUUGGCUUAAAAUCCACAUAACACUGGUUCUUCAAGGGUUCUUUAGGAAAUGCAGUGGCUCUAUAGAGAACCAUGAACACUCAAAGAAGUGUUUUGGUUCUUUGCGUGGUGAGAUGGCUCUUCAGAGUAAGAAUGUGUUAUAUAUGAAUCUAUAUCUAUAAAGCAUCUGCUAUGGUUAGGAUGUCAAGCUUGUGACAAUAGCAGAACCCUUUUUGGUGCUAUAUAGAACCAUUUUCAAAAAGGCUCUACAACACAUUCAUCAGUCUGAAGAACCAUUUCACAAUGCAGUGAGCCAGUAGCCAUGCAAAUGGUUCUUUAUGCCUUCAUGAUUCUAUAUAGAACUAUUGUCUUUGCCUAAAAAACCCUGGAGGAACCAUCUCUUCAAAGAGCGUACAAAGCUCAAAUGGGCUCAAAGCGCAUUUGGAUGUAAUGAGAUGAUUGGCCAUUUAGCCAAACGAUACCAUAAAUGAGUUAAUCAUGCCAUAUUUUCAAUAAUAUUAUGUUAAUAUGCUGUAAAGUUCCAACUGC